UCAAUUUAGUGCUAAACGCACAAUAAAUUGUGACGCGACGCGGUGUAUCCAUAGUUUUUGAAGAAUUCAAUUUAAGGUUUGUCAAUAGUUGCAGUAUUUCCGACGCAAUUAUUGACUCUUGCGCAUGAGUCUCGGUGCAUUUGACAAGGCUUCUCGCGGUACGCGACCUGAAAACCCCUGCAUUAGGCAGAUCUUUUUGGAGCGAGUUGCUCCUCUGGGGUGUCUCAGCCAGCGCAGAGGCAGUGUGCGCAAACAGGGUGUCUAAAAAUAACGUGUACACCAGCAGUGGCACAAUGUAAACAGCGUUUUCAUCUCCCGGCACGUCAAACGACGCGACGUCGACGACGGUUUACGUCUCCCGUGACUGGCUAAAUUUAUGGAAGUUCGAUAACUUCGCCAACUUUGUUUUGAAACUUACGUUUUGAGAGCGUCGAGCUGACCCUGAACUUGUUCCAAGGUUCAGCGAUUAGCCAUUUUUGUGUGUGUCGCAAAUCUAAGCAGGCCUUGAGUUGAUCAGGUGAUCGCUCAAGGUGGGUUGCGGAAACCCACGUUACUGCCGAGGCGAAGACUAGGUCACUGCCAAGAUCUGGUCGAGAUUUUCUCACCUGCAAGCGAAACAGAGAAAGUGCCAAGUUUAAAGCCGCAAUUUGGCAACCAUUCAGCAAUUGAUAAAGCAAUAUUGGCUUAUUUUUGACAAACAAUGGAUGUUCUUAAAGAGAUCCCAUUCUAUACUUGAUACUGCUAAUUAACGCUUGUAAUAGGAUUUGCCGGAUGGCUAGGAAAUCUUUAUUGCUCUCGGAUGCUGUAUCAUUCGCGUCCCGAGUGAAAUUUAUUGCCGACCAAAAAUAAAUGCAGGCUUUCCCAUUCAAUCUCCGAAAAUAGACUGAAUGAUCGCGUUUGCUUACUUAUAUAGACCUACUUGGGAUUGAUCGGUUUAUGACCUUUAUCGAGUGAGGGCGUGAUCUAAUGCAGUGAGGUCAUCUAGAUUUGAUAGGUUUAUAAAUCUUGCUGAAGGCGGAGUGCCAUUUAUAACCCCUGUUGGAAUGUAAUGUAAUAUAAUAAAACCUUAUUUUAGGAUCCCUCAAAUUGGUACACCGUAGAGGACUUGAAAUGGUAGAUACAGGUACUCUUCGAUAUAACGUACAAAAAAGUUUUCCCUUUGUACGUUAUAUCGAAGUGUACGUUGUAUCGAAGCAGAGAAUAAAAUAAUAUUUUUCAUGCUAGUAUUGAUGUAUUCGACGUGAAAUUAAUCCCAAAUAAUUAUUUCGGUGAAAUUCGCAAAACCACUAAUGAAAAACUUGAGUUUUGACGAAAAAGUCAUUAAGUUUUUUGUGCUUCGAUAUAACGUACAUUUUGCUUCGAUAUAACGUACACUACAUUUUUCCUCAAAUUGUGCUAAUUCUGGGUAACAAGGCUAAUGCUGCAACAAAACAUUGAUUUGAGUGAAUUCGUAGUUUAUCUAAGGGUUAUUCGUGGAAAAAAUAAAAAAAAUCAAUGUUGAACGUUAUAUCGAAGCAAAAUGUACGUUAUAUCGAAUUCGCUAUUUCGAGGGUACGCUAUAUCGAGGGUACGUUAUAUCAAAGAAUACCUGUAUUUCGAAAUGGAUUGGUAUACCAAUAUAAAGCAAACAACUCGUAGUUAUUGAGAAAAUCAGGUAAUAAUUAUUUCAAAAAGGUUUGUAGUUCACAUAUUUCUAAUCAAUAACAGUACUGGCCAAGUCCUAACAAUCAGAUGAGGAAUGUUAUAUGUAGUGUAAUGAUUUUAGCUACACACUAAUAUGAGCUCGGCAAACGCCGGCACCGCCAUGGCUCAGCAAAUAUUUAUACUGAAUCUCGGUAAAAAAUAACGUAUGUUAGCUAAUUUCGGCAAAACAUUUUCUGAAUCUCAGCAAACAAACCACACAACUGCUGAGAUCUCGUUGAAAUACAAGUUUGCUGAGAGCUCGGCGGUGCCAAUCUCGGUAAUAAGCAAGAAAAAUUGCCGAGAUUCGGCGAAAAAAAUUAAGUGUGUACUAUAUACCGAGAAUACCUUCGCAUAUCCACAACCACAAAGGACAAAGUGUUUGUUAAUGGGGAAGAGUAAUGGGACAUCUGGAAGUCACCUUACGUUAUUGAUGUGACCCCUGAAUAAAGAAUGUUAAGGGCAGUGCAGUGCAAAGAUGGCAGGCAGAAUGGUAGCCACACGCCACCUCACGAUUUUUGGACUAACAUGUGAAAAGGACGUUACAAAAAUUUCGAAUUUCUCUUUCUCCCCUUCCUCCUAGACCUAGGGUAAAUUGCCAAUUGUUGCAUACCUUAAAAACUCGUCAAUUAUUGCACACCAUAUAAGAAAAGCAUGGAGUGUGCAACAAUUGGCGAGUUUUUAGGGGUGCAAUGAUUGGCGAUUUAGGAGGGACGGAAGAAGCUAAGGCGUGCAAUGGUUGUUCCGUCCUUUUCACAAGUUAUUCUAGAUUUAACCUACAUCCAGUCAGCAUACAUUUUUCACUUUGGCCAUAUUUUUUUUUGUUUUCCGACGGAUUUUGAUGAAACUUUCACAAUUUCACGAACAUUCUUCUAGUUUAGGAUUCCGGAAACUUUUUGACAACGGUGGCUUAGGUUCGAGAUUCAUCCGCUAGGCAGUGUCAGUGUCAAAACAAUGCAAAACCUUGUAUCUCAAAAUUCUGAUAAGAUAGAAUGAUACUAUCCUCGGCAAAGUGGUUCAGCAAGUUAAGAACUAUCUGACAAGUGAGUCUAUGGCUUGUGAUUCAUUCGCUAGGUGGUGCAUUAUGAACUAGAAGUGUGGUGUUUUCAACCAGCAGGCUCAGAACUUGGUUUGAAAUUAUUUUACUAUAUUUAUUACACAAGUUUACAAAAUAAAACGAAAGUCGUGAACUUCUGUCAACGACCAAAAUUUUUGAAGCACAAUUUAGUGCUGAUUUCGGAACCGUUUUUGAGUUUUAGCACAUUAUCGAGCUUUGCAACUUUUCAAAAUAUGUAAUUUACUAAAAUUCAAAUAUAUUACGUUUUGUUCAACCAAUUUUAAAUCUUUUUCCAUAAAUUAAAAGCUGAAUACAAUACCAUUUGAUCAUGCGAACACAGGUUUUGCGUCAGAUUGAUGAAAUUCAAGAUAUUGGCGAGUUUUAGGGACGAUCUUCUUAAAUUUUAGCAAAAUCCGCAAAAUUUUUUGAAGAAAGGUAUUUUUUUUAAUAAGAAAAAACCAACUGAAAAAUUCUUUCUCGACGUUUAUUUGACAUAUCAUAAGUAGGCGAGUUACAGUAAAAAUUUCAGCUCAAUCGGAGCAUUGAUUACGGAGAAUGAGAUGUCUGAAGUGAGCGAUUUUGCUUAAAAAUAGAACAAAAAUCGAUUUCAAAUCAUCAACCUUGUAUGGAAAGUCGAAAAAAUUUCCGCUCUACUGUAAUUUUUUUCUUUCGCGUUUUCGAACUCAGGGCAUGAUUCUACACCAAAAAUGAUCAUCAGCUUACCGAGUUCAAAAAUGCUGUAAACUAGUGUUAUCAUUCGGGUUCGUUUACCCAGAGCUUGCGAUCAGAAGUUGGAGAGGAGAAAAAUUUAGGGAUUAUACUGAGUUCGUCACGGUGGGUAUAACAGAUAUAGGUAGAAAUAAUGUGUAUGUAUUUAGCUAGGUGAGCCACUCCCAAAAAAUCAAACGCCAAAUUGAAUUAAGAAUAAAUAUUGUCAACUUACUCCACACAAUUGUACACAUGGUACAUAAUACAUCGGAAUCCUGGGAAGACAGAAGCAUAAGGUGGGCAUCAUGAGAAUUAUGAGAAGGACUGUACAGGGUUUGGAGCACGAGAUGCACUGUUCUUUCAAGCGAAGUCUAGAGAAGAUGAAUAUACCUACGAAUAACGUGUUCUAAGUACAGAAGAGUGAAGUAAAAUUUGAUAACGAAGUUACGUGGUACAUAUAUAGACUAAGAAGCCAGGAAAAAAGUGAAAAGUUAUCUUAUUAAUGCCCUCCAAACCCUAAGACCCCUUAUCCUCGUGCUUUAAUAGGACCCGUUAGUGCUUGGCUGAGAACCCCUGAUCAAUCAGGAAAAUAGAAAUACACUAGAACUCCAAUGGCGCUAUAGUCACUUUUUCUGUUUAAUUAUAUUUAUAACUUAUAUUGUAAUAAUUGAUUGUUUUUAAGUGUCCAGCUUGAAGAGCAUCUUUUGUUUUGGUAAACAAAAUUUAUUUGACACAUCUAGUACCGCUACUGACGCUGUAAGGGCGUGGCAAACUAGAUGUUACUCACACGAACAGUCGCGACAUUGGACUUCUGUGGCUAGUUAUUCUAAUAUCAGGAAAGAGUAGCCAAGCUCCAUCGAGAUAUCGGUAAGACCAUCGGCGAACAAUUAGCCACGCCACCUCAACACUAUCUUGGAUUUGGACCAGAGUUCCCGAGCCCUCGCCGAGAAGGAGAUCAUCCCACAUCAAGAUUCCGUUAUCGCUGGCACAAAAAUAAACUAAAUUGGUUACAGGACAGCCUGGGAAACGUGGUGGGUGGCAGCGUCUAAUAGGAGACCCGACUGUAUCUUGAAACCCUAAAUUAGCUAGAAGUUUGCCGUCAGCAGGUCAAGAAUCUGGCAACUAAAACCUUGCAGCGAGAUUUGUUCGUUAGGCGUCAAAAUCGUUCAAAUUCCUGCAUGCCACAUACAAAAUAUGCACCUUUUACCGACUUUUCGAACCCUCUAAGCAGAAUACGCUGGGCGGAACGCUGAUUAAAUACACUCAUUCGGACAAAAUUUCAAUUUAAGUUUUCAGCACAUUUGUUCAGCAAGUUAGGAACUGUGCAAAGCCGAAUAUGGCCGGCAAGGAAUCACCCAGGAUCGGGCCAAAGAGUAUGAUGACCACGAUGUUCGCACGUCCGACUGCGGUGCUGGUUGCUGCUGGAAAGGCCGAGGAUAAGAUGGCGGUUGUUGGGGUUAGCUCGCCUGCUGUGACAGUUCUGAUGCGAGACAACGCACAAGAUUUCAGCUCACAUUCAGCCUCUGUCACAUUUAGCAUUGGGAGCUCUUUCGCUCCCACACAGGAACUAUCUGGAAUUGGAGACCUUGCUCUGGCGUUUAUUCGCUGGAUUGCGCCCAUAGGCGUCUAUAGUGUCAACAAAAUAAAAACAAAUUGGUAAGUAUAUCGCGAAACUGUAAUGAGUUUGAAGUACACCGUUUUCCGCAUUGUCCGGCCGUUUGACUGAAUGUCUUUUGUCCGAAUGCCAUCCGGCCGAAUGGGUCGUUUGGCUGAAUUGCUGAAUUAUGAUUAAAAGGCACUUUUUGACAUUCUUGCUUCCGGUAUGAUCAUCAGAAACAUUUUCUUUUUUAAAACAUAGCUUAUUCCUCCUAGUUUAACCACUGAGAGGUUAGUUUAAGCUCCAAAACUGCCAAUAUUUCAUUAGAGAUUUUUCCUACCUUAAAUCUUUUGAGUUAUACUGUUUGUGUUUUAUGUUAUUUGAGUUUUUCGGCCAAACGGCAUUCGACCAAAUAGCGUUCGCACAAAUAGCAAUAAGCCAAACAGCAUUCGGCCAAAUUAAUACCCGAAACAGUUUUUUACAGAGCUUAUCAGCAAACAAGCUUAGAACUAGUUGGUAAUUGAGUUCUUUGUGAGACUUUCUUUUACAUUUUUUAUAUUCUUCAAUCACUUAAGGUGAAAUAUAAAGAAAUCCCACGGCAAUUUUGCAUACAAACUUUAGAGGCACAAAUCUAGCGAACGAAGCAUCCAAUCAAGCCACACUUGUUUAUCCCGGCUUUGCUCACUUGCAAAAAGAGGCAGCUUUUCCAAAUCAAGCGCAUUUGUUUAUGAAUUUUUAAGAUUGGUGCUCUUGAAAACGUGAGUAGGGGUCCAAGUCGGCCAUUGUGGCAGCCAUGUUUGUAUUCUCUGAAGUUUCUCCUUCACCUAAUUUACAGCUCUUUUGUCCACUAGGGCACUGCGCACCGAGAAAAAAUCCUACUCAAAAUUGAGUUGGAUCCGACUCAGUUUCGUUAAAAGUGGGACAACCCUAAAACUGAGUAAGGUGUAGGUUACUCAAUUUUGAGUUGCUGUUCUAUUCGAUGAAGGCUGAGUAAAGUUAACUCACGAUAUUCAACAUCGACCGUGAGUUGCUUCUACUCAUAUAUAUGAAUAAGUUUGAAGCAUUUUUAAUGUUGUCAUUUCAUAUUUCUUGCAAAAUUUGAUAAUUUACGACCUCGGCAGCCAGUGAUUUCUCUUGAAAACUUCAUUGUCAACAACAGUUCACUAAUUGCGGAGGUCGUAAACCACUUUAUUUGCCUCGAAAAAGGAAAAUUCUUCCAAAAUUGCGUUUUGGAUGCAGCCGCUGCUGUCCGCCACGAGCAGAACGUUGUUUUGCCUUUUCUCUAUCUCCGGAUCUGACAGUUCGGAACAUCGAUUCGCUCUAUCUUUACUCAAAAAUGAGUAAGCGAUAGUGAACACGAUGAACUGAGUAAAAGCACCUCAUUGUCAUCAAGCGAACUUACUCAGCCUGUGCCAACUCCUCGCGGUCGACAAAACUGAGUUGUCGUUACUUAUCGACUGAGUAGAUUAUUUUCUCUGUGUACCCUGUCCAUGGUAGAAUGAUGAGCACGAUGUUGAUGUGUGGCUCUUGUUCCAUUUCCAGUCCGAUUGGGGGUUCAUUAUGGGUUGCCGUUAGCUGAUAUCCAAGUUUCCGGGUCUGUUAGAGCAUACACCGAGAAAAAAUCCUACUCAAAAUUGAGUUGGAUCCGACUCAGUUUCGUUAAAAGUGGGACAACCCUAAAACUGAGUAAGGUGUAGGUUACUCAAUUUUGAGUUGCUGUUCUAUUCGAUGAAGGCUGAGUAAAGUUAACUCACGAUAUUCAACAUCGACCGUGAGUUGCUUCUACUCAUAUAUAUGAAUAAGUUUGAAGCAUUUUUAAUGUUGUCAUUUCAUAUUUCUUGCAAAAUUUGAUAAUUUACGACCUCGGCAGCCAGUGAUUUCUCUUGAAAACUUCAUUGUCAACAACAGUUCACUAAUUGCGGAGGUCGUAAACCACUUUAUUUGCCUCGAAAAAGGAAAAUUCUUCCAAAAUUGCGUUUUGGAUGCAGCCGCUGCUGUCCGCCACGAGCAGAACGUUGUUUUGCCUUUUCUCUAUCUCCGGAUCUGACAGUUCGGAACAUCGAUUCGCUCUAUCUUUACUCAAAAAUGAGUAAGCGAUAGUGAACACGAUGAACUGAGUAAAAGCACCUCAUUGUCAUCAAGCGAACUUACUCAGCCUGUGCCAACUCCUC